ensembl:lncRNA
GCAGGGCCAGGGAGGGCUGCUUGUCCGUGCUCUUCCCAGGGUCCACCAGACUCUGGCUGAAGCAGCAGAGCAGCCUUCCUACCUGUCUAGAGCCUCGGCUGAGAUAACCCAGACAUCCAGGUGCACUGAUGUUUGGGACCUGCUUCUCCUUGGUGUGAUCUUUCUCUUUAUAUGGAGUGUCUCAUGCUCCAGAAUCUCCCCUCCACGUGGCCCCUUUUCACCAGGGUGACCUCUUUGCACCUUCAUAUGAAUGCUGGACUCUACCAGAGCCAGUGUGAAGGCGGCAAGACCUCUCAAGGGAUGGCCUUGAACUCCCCUGAUAGCACCUGCAUGUCAUUCUGUUGGUCACAGUAAGUCUCGGGACCACCCCAGAUUCAUGGGGUUGGUGGAGGCAUAGACUCUGGGACUCGAGGCAAAGUCGCAUCUCUAAAGAGAGGUUGACACAGAGAACCCUCUGUGGGUUCAUUGGGGACCCUUUUUAACACAUAUUGAUAGUCCUUAUCCCAAGACUGCACGAGGAAUUAUAAUUCUAGGUCACGAUAAAUAGCACAGCUCCUAAAUUUAAAUGUAACCAUUAUACACGUGUGGUCUCAGAAGGUUAGCAUGAGAGGCAGCUCCUCUGAUCCCACUCAGAUGGGCUAAGAGCCCCUGAACGCUUCCCAGAGCCACUGUGCUCAACGUCCUCCAAAUACCAGUGUCACCCAGCAGAAAAGUUGCUCUUUAUUAUACAGGGUGUUCUAUGUCACUUAUAUCUCAAUAAAAAUUUACAUCUGACUAGAAAAAAAGUUAAAUUAAUUACAUUUGUGAAGCCACAUUUGGAGUUUCCCCUAGGAAACUGCCCUGUCUCUCAGAAAUAUUAACGCCCUCACCAGGGAAGUCUCCAUCAGCUAAAUAAAAAAGGAAAUUUGCUCUCUACUUGGCUGUCUCCCCACUGGACUCUCAGUCCCGGGGGCUCUUCUCCUUCAUCUUAAGAGUCCUCUUGUGGCUCGGCAGGUUAAGGAUCCAGCAUUGUCACUACAGCAGCUCGGGUCACUACUGUGGUGCUGGUUCAAUCCCUGGCCCAGGAACUUCCACGUGCCACGGGUAUGGCAAAAGACCCCAAACUCUAAUAAUACUCAUUUUGUGUGAAACCAAAUGAAAAUUCUUACUGGCCCCAGAUUAGACUUUUUUCAUAGCUCCAAAUUUUCUACGUUUAGUUGUCUAAUGUGUGAAUAAAAAAUUAAUGUUUGAAAGGCAUUAAGAUUUUGUUCUGUGUCCUCCAUAUCCCAUACAAAGCUUCUUGUCCCCUCCUGUGACUCGGGUUUUUGCAAGGCUCCUCUUGAUCUGAAUGACAUUCAGAGCUAAAAUAGCAUUCCAUUCACCGAUGUUAUUCUGCCACAUAAAGUAAGUGUGAUGGUGUGCACUGGGUGUGCAGCACACCUCACAGGUGUCAGUCAUUCUGGGAAAGAGGGCACAGUCACUGAAUCACAGCAGAGAUUAAUCCCAAGGAAACAGUGUCAGGAGAACAUACUAAGGAGUCUUUCCUUUUCUUUUUUUUAUUAAAAAAAUUAUUAUAGUUGAUUUACAGAGUUCUGUCUAUUUCUGCUGUUCAGCAAAGUAACCCAGUUAUGCACGUGUGCACGCGCACGUACACACACACACACACACACACACACGCUUUUUCUCAUGUUAUCUUCCAUCACAAGAGAUUGGAUAGGGUUCCCUGUGCUGUACAGUAGAACCUCCUUGCUUGUCCAUUCUGAAUGGAAUAGUUUGCAUCCACUAACCCCAAACUCCCCGUCCAUCCCAUUCCCUUCUUCUCCCCCUUGGCAACCACACGUCUGUUCCCUAUGUCCAUGAGUCUGUUUCUGUUCUGUAGAUAGGUUCAUUUGUGCCAUAUUUUAGAUUCCACAUAGAAGUGAUAUCAUGUGGUAUUUGUCUUUGUCUGACUUACAUAGUUUGAGAAUCUCUAGUUCCAGCCAUGUUGCUGCAAAUGACAUUACUGUGUUCUUUUUGUGGCUGAGUAGUAUUCCAUCACACAUAUGUACCACAUCUUCUUGGUCCACUCAUAUGUCAAUGAACAUUUAGGUUGUUUCCAUGUGCUGGUUGUUGUGAAUAGUGCUGCAAUGAACAUGUGGGUGCAUGUGUCUUUUUGAGUUAUAGUUUUAUCCAGAUAUAAGCCGGAGCGGGAUUGUGGGAUCAUAUGGUGGCUCUGUGUUGCGUUUUCUGAGGAGCCUCCAUGCUGAUCUCCAUAGUGACUGUAUCAGUGUACAUUCCCACCAACAGUGCAGGAGGGUUCCCUUUUCUCCACACCCUCUCCAGCACUUCUUAUUUGUAGACUUAUUAAUGAUGGCCAUUCUGACCACUGUGAGGUGGUACCUCACUGUGGUUUUGAUUUUUCAUUUCUCUAAUAAUUAGCAAUGUUGAGCGUUUUUUUCCAUGUGCCUGUUGGCCAUCCGUAUGUCUUUUUUGGAGAAAUGUCUGUUUAGGUCCUCUGUCCAUUUUUCAGUUGGAUUGUUUUUUUUUUUUUGCCAUUGAGUCGUAUGAGUUGUUUGUAUAUUUUAGAGACUGAGCCCUUGUCAGUUGCAUCAUUUGCAACUAUUUUCUUCCAUUCCACAUGUUGUCUUUUUUGUUUUGUUAAUGGUUUCCUUCACUGUGCAAAAGCUUGUAAGUUUGAUUAGGUCCCAUUGGUUUAUUUUUGUCUUUAUGUCUGUUGCCUUGGGAGACUGACUUAAGAAAACAUUUGUAAGGUUGAUGUCAGAGAAUGUUUUGCCUGUGUUCUCUUCUAGGAGUUUUAUGGGGUCUUGUUUUAUGUUUAAGUCUUUAAGGCAUUUUGAGUCAAUUUUUGUGCACGGCAUGAGGGUGUGUUUCAGUUUCAUUGAUUUACAUGCAGCUGUCCGAUUUUCCCAGUACCACAUGCUGAAGAGACUGUCUUUUUCCCAUUUUAUAUUCUUGCCUCCUUUGCCAAAGAUGAACUGACCAAAGGUGUCUGGGUUUAUUUCUGGGCUCUCUUUUCUGUUCCAUUGGUCUGUAUGUUUGUCUUUGUACCAGUACCACAUGUCUUGAUACUGUAGCUUUGUAAUAUUGUCUGAAGUCUGGGAGAGUUAUGACUCCUCCUUUUUUUUUUUUUUCUGUCAGGAUUGCUUUGGCAAUUCUGUGUUGUUUAUGGCUCCAUAUAUGUUUUUGGAUUGUUUGUUCUAGUUUUGUGAAAAAUGUCAUGGGUAAUUUGAUAGGGAUUACAUUGAAUCUGUAGAUUUCUUUGGGUAGUAUGAUCAUUUUAACGAUAUUAAUUCUUCCAAUCCAGGAGCGUGGAGUAUCUUUCCAUUUCUUUGAAUCCUCUUUAACUUCCUUGAUUAAUGUUUUACAGUUCUCAGCAUAUAAAUCUUUCACUUCCUUGCUCAGGUUUAUUCUUAGGCAUUUGAUUCUUUUGGGUGCUAUUGUAAGAAGUAUUUUUUUUUUGCAUUCCUUUUCUAAUAUUUCAUUGUUAGUAUAUAGAAAUUCAACUGAUUUCUGAUUGAUGAUCAGAUUGAGUUGUUUUUGUGUGAGUCCUUAGGGUUUUCUGUAUAUCAUAUCAUGUCAUCGGCAUAUAGUGACAAUUUUACCUCUUCUUGAAGAGCCUUUCUUAGGCAGUGGCAAAAUGAUAAGCUCCCAUCAAGGAGCGACCACAUCUUUCUCCAUCACCCUACUCCCAACCUCUGGCACAGAGCCUGGUGCAUAAGAGACCCUAUUUGUUGAACAGAGUUUAAGCAACAUUAGAACUUUCUGAAGAAAAUGCCUUAAAGUUGAGUUUUUCCUCACAUUUAUUGGUUUAAAUAAGUAAAAUUCAUUGAGCAGACCUCUAGACACACAGCAGGCUCUUAGAAAACACAUGCAGUCUGCAGGGACAGUUCCUAUGUUAAAGAGGCACCUCGUUUCCAAGGAAACACUCUUAGCCUUGUGCUCAACCUUGCGUCUUGUCCUCGAGAGGCCACGUGAGCGCAUAAGUGUCCCUACCUAGGCAAGAGGCCUGGUCUGAGGAGCUCAUAUGCAACAUUUUAUCCAAUGUCACCAACUUCCUCUAAAAUAUUUGAUUUAACAGAUCUCCAACCUUCUCUUUAUUCCCAGAAUCCAAAAGAUUGUGCUUAAUGUGGUGUCUAAAUUCUUUCCCUUUUGCUAUUCCUAUGUAAUUCUGGAGCACUCUGCACACAUAAAGUGUUUUGCAGUGGCAUUUUGUUUAUGCCAGAGAUGAAUCCCUUUGAAAUCCACCCUCAGUGAAACAGUCUUUAAGGGAUGUGCUGUUAACCUGUAGUCACAGAAAUCAGGGAAGGUAUAAGAAGAGGGCUGAGAUAAUAGGAAAAUCACAGUGAGAAACUGAAGUCUGUCUCAAAGCUUUCUCAUAGACUGAAGGUUUGUGUCCCCCCCCCCAAGUUCAAACCCUAAACCCCAAACCCAAAGUGAUGGUAUUAGAGGUGGAGGCCUUGGGGAGGUGGUUAAGUCAUGAGGGUGGGGUCCUUAGGAAAGGGAUCCGUUCCCUCAUACAAGAGAUUCUGGAGAGCUCGCCAUUCUUUCCACCCCACGAGGACACAGCGAGAAGACAGGUGUCUCAGAACCAAAAAUCAGGCCUCCCCAGACAUCAGAUCUGCAGGCACCUUAAUCUUGGAUGCCACACCCCUAGAACAGUGAGAAAUAAGUUAUGUUGUUGAUAAGCUACCCAGUCUGUGACAUUUUGUGACAGCAGCCUGAACGGGCAAGACAUUAGGGAAUUAAGUCAAAUCAUCUGUGCACUUGUGUUACUUGGCACAGGGCAUAUCAGAUAGUUCAAAAAAUGGAGUCCUGAUAAUGAUUAUAGUUAAUAUUAUAAAAAGAGAAAUGCCUGAAUGUCAUGUUACUUAUUUCCUAAAAUAUUUUAUUCGUCAAAUUUUCUGAGUCCGUAAAACUGUCGCAGCUCUGCCCUUGAGAAGUGUUCGAGAGAACAUCCAAUACUCAGGCUUUAUUAAACAGCACAGUGUUCUCAACAGCUUUGAAGUCUAGGGCACCCUGGUAACAUUAUAGAUGCCAGUGACUUUGGCGUGAUUUUGUGGUUGGUGUCCUUGGGACAAAAUCUGGAUGCAUAGAGGUGUGUGCACGUGCAUGCCUGUGUGUGUGUGUGUGUGUGUGUGUGCAUGUGUGUAUGUCCGUGUGCGUGCACGUGUGUGUGUGCAUGUGUGUACAUUGAUGACAGUGAUGACCAGUGUCGUGGCAUGUACAUGUGUGUGUGCGUGUGUGUGCGUGCAUGUGUGUGUACAUUGAUGACAGUGAUGACCAGUGUCGUGGCAUGUACAUGUGUGUGUGCGUGUGUGUGUGUGUUUGUGUGUGUGUACAUUGAUGACAGUGAUGACCAGUGUCAUGGCAUGAAGCACAUGUCCCCGGGGAGGCAGAUACCGGCAGUGCUUCCGUGUUGUGUGGCAGGCAGUCCUCUCUUAGCUACAGCUGCCUGGGUACUAAGUACAGCAGACGGGCAAACCGGCCAUGGGGGAACCAGGAUGUAGAGGGCACAGGUGGGUAAAUUACAGACCUGAUUUUGAAGGAAUUUACUUCCAGUGAAAACUGAAGUGAGCAUAGUCUUUAAUUUAUGCUUUGGAAAAUAUGUAGAUGUACUACUCACAUAGAGAAGUCAUUAUUAGAAGUUGCUCUGACUUUAUAAAGGUCCAGGUGCACAUUCUCGGCUAGAGCAUGCUGGUUGAUUGGUGCCGUUUCCUUUUUGGUAUUUUAAAGGACCCCCGGGACUAUCUGAUGGUAGCUUUAUCGUUGCUUGCAUUCUGAUCACUUUGGUGUUGACAUGCAUCGUGCAUCAGGUGUGGGCUUGACGGAGAUGACGCAGUGGUGGGCAAGUAGUUGGAAGUGCUGUUUUCAGAGGCUGUUGGAGGGCUGGACAGAAAAUUAAAUGGGACAUGAUAGGAAAUACUGGGGCGGGCAAGAGAGGCAUACUGUAUCUUCUGAAUUUUCUCAAAUUUGUGAACUCACUUUUUUCUAAACUCGUCUCUCUCAGGGCUGUGAAAGAUCAUUUAUUGCUGGCUGCUAUGUUGCUCUGAGUUUUAGCAUGUCGUUAAAGUCAAGCCUUAAAUUUUUGUGUUUCAAAGGCAAAAAGAAAGUUAAUAUAGUAAAUAUCUGUGUUCCUAAAAUUAAAAUUCAAUUAUAGAUAUUAGAGUACAUUGAACUUAGAACUUUCCCCUUAAGAAAUAGUUAUCAAAAAUAAAUGCAUAGGGGUUCUCAUCGUGGCUCAGCAGAAAUGAAUAUGGAUAGUAUACAUGAGGACGCAAGUUCGAUCCUUGGCCUUGCUCAGUAAGUUAAGGAUCCGGCAUUGCCAUGAGCUGUGGUGUAGGUUGCAGAUGUGGCUCGUAUCCCGCGUUGCUGUGGUUGUAGCCUAGGCUGGUGGCUGCAGCUCCUAUUCUAUCCCUAGCCUGAACCUUCAUGUGCCACGGG